rnacentral:rRNA from 1 species
UACGUAGGGGGCAAGCGUUGUCCGGAAUCAUUGGGCGUAAAGCGCGUGUAGGCGGUCCGGUAAGUCGGUUGUGAAAGUCCAGGGCUCAACCCUGGGAUGCCGAUCGAUACUGCCGGACUAGAGUCCGGAAGAGGCGAGUGGAAUUCCCGGUGUAGCGGUGAAAUGCGCAGAUAUCAGGAGGAACACCGGUGGCGAAGGCGGAUCUCUGGGCCUUACCUGACGCUCAGGCGCGAAAGCUAGGGGAGCGAACAGG